GUCAACACACUGAAUCCACAUAUACUAAAACUGGAAUGAUACAGAGAAGAUUAGCGUGGCCCCUGUGUAAGGAUGACACAAAAUUCAUGAAGCAUUCCUUAUUUUA